rnacentral:rRNA from 1 species
AUACGUAGGGGGCGAGCGUUGUCCGGAAUGAUUGGGCGUAAAGGGCGCGUAGGCGGCGCGGUAAGACUGGAGUGAAAGUCCUGCUUUCAAGGUGGGAAUUGCUUUGGAUACUGCCGCGCUUGAGUGCAGGAGAGGUUAUCGGAAUUCCCGGUGUAGCGGUGAAAUGCGUAGAGAUCGGGAGGAACACCAGUGGCGAAGGCGGGUAACUGGACUGCAACUGACGCUGAGGCGCGAAAGUGUGGGGAGCAAACAGGAUUAGAUACCCUGGUAGUCCACACUGUAAACGAUGAAUGCUAGGUGUAAGAGGUAUCGACCCCUUUUGUGCCGGAGUCAACACAAUAAGCAUUCCGCCUGGGGAGUACGGCCGCAAGGUUGAAACUCAAAUGAAUUGACGGGG